rnacentral:lncRNA from 1 species
ACAAGAUGAGAACAUAGUGCCCAGACCACAGGUCUGUGGACAGUCUGAAUGAAACAAUGCAAUGAGGGCACCUGCACACUGUGAGCCACCAUGAAGAUGCUCAACAGGUGUGAGCUGAAUCCAAAUUGGAGGAAAGUAGAAUAUGACCUGAGAAAACCCCAGGGCCAACCUAAGGGUGGGGAUGUUGUUUUUGGAAGUGUGUGUGUGUGUGUGUGUGUGUAUGCAUAUGUGUUUAAGGUUGUACUACAGUGGAGGUGCAGGGUAUGAAGAGAAAAGGGUUUUUUUUUUUUUUCUCUUUUUCCCCAGUGCUGAGGAUGGAACUCAGGGCCUCAUGCAUGCUAGGGAAAUGCUCUCCCCCUGAGCUCCAUCCCAAGAUCCUGUGACUUCUUGAGUGCUGGGAAGACCUUGUUAGUGACCCUCGUCUCUUUAUCCUAAAUGCCACCACCAUGGCUUGGGACCACAUCCUCCUACCCAGAUGCCGGCAUCAGCCCCUUAACUGGCCUCUGCCUCUGUCUCCCAUUCGUUCAUUCUCCUCCACCUUGUAGUCAGAAGUGUCCUUCUAAAAUGGGGAUGUGGCUGUGUCAGUCCAGCGGCUCCCCACCACCCUCAGGAUGGACCUGAGCAAAGCUGUCUUCGGACUGCCCUGAGAGUCUGCCAUCCUCCCUUCUCACCCUGCUGUGCCCCCCGAGACCCUGACCCAGGUCCGGUGAGACCCAGCCAGACGGGGGAAGGCAGGGGAAUGUGACUGGAGCCCGUGUCCCAGCCCACAUUCCAGCCUUCUUGCCAGGUCACCGAGAGAGACUGCUUCCCUCUAGCGAAGGCCACAGUUCCCAUCACAAGCAUCAACCCCCUCAACCCCCCCCCCCCACUGCCCUGCAGGAUGGUAAUGGUCACUUUGUCAGUUUUUGACACAAAGCGUGUACUUAAUAAAUAGAGAAUGAAUGGCUUCUAUUGUACAGGGCUCCAUUGUACAAUACUGUACUUUCCCAUGCCACCAACAGCAGCCUUGGGAGGGAGAGUGUAGAAAUUCUAUCUGGGCUUUAUGCAGGAGGACUCUGAAACAUGGAGGGAC